rnacentral:rRNA from 1 species
UACGUAGGUGGCAAGCGUUUGUCCGGAUUUAUUGGGUUUAAAGGGUGCGUAGGCGGUCUAUUAAGUCAGUGCUGAAAUAUCCCGGCUUAACCGGGAGGGUGGCAUUGAUACUGAUGGACUUGAGUGCAGUCGAGGUAGGCGGAAUUGACGGUGUAGCGGUGAAAUGCUUAGAUAUCGUCAAGAACACCGAUAGUGAAGACAGCUUACUAGACUGUAACUGACGCUGAGGCACGAA